GCAGUGGUGGUUCAGUGGUAGAAUUCUCACCUUCUAGGUGGGAGACCAAGUUUGAUUCCCAGCCAAUGUA
rnacentral:tRNA from 1 species